CAGCAGCCUCCUACAGCACCACUACAGGCACUGCGAGGACAUAACACCAGAGAGCUGCUCCUCUGCCCUCCGAAACGACAACUUUCCUACCAUCUUGGAGGCAGAGCAAAGGGGGGCCAGGGGGAAAAGUGCACCCGCUCCCGAUAAAGUACAAAUUUUUACUUCUCAUCUCUGGAAAAAAGUCCACACCGGCCGUCUACACCCGCGCCUGGGGGAGAAAGCAGGGAAGAAACGGGGGGUGCAUGAGAAACGUUUUCAUUUGCUCCAGGGGGAAAAAUGUUUCUGCAUCUUCUGAUGGAAAGAAAUCUUUACAAGACACAGGUUUUCCGGUGGUUAUUGUUUUUUAUUUUCUGUUUUUAAUUUUUUUCAUGUUAGUGACAGUGAUAUUUUAAUAUUUUUUUAAGCCAGUAAUAAUUUUUCUCCAUUACAGGGCUAAGUUCUGUGGCUGGUGGUCAGUUUGUAAAUUUAUACUUAAAGAGACUUAAUAGUAACUUCAUUUAUUUGUCUGGUUAUGUUAUUGUAUAUAUAAAUAUUUAUGUUUUCAUAUAUUGCAUAUAAAAAUUUGUGUUACAUGUUACUCUCAGAACAGAUUGCUGUAAGACAAUUGUAAAAAAACAUGUCUUUCGUCUGUUUCUCAAAGCAAUGUAAAUAAAACCUAUGGACUGUCCAGAAAGGCAUGAUACAGUGUGUCAUUUUCCACAGUGCAGAUAAAGGCAGCUAUCACUGGGGAUUUAAAAACGGCCCCUGUUUCUGGAAAUUCUGUUAUGCUGCCCAUACAGAAAGGAUACAGUAAAACUGGAAAGAGAUUUUAAAGACAGCCUUAGAUUUUUCUUGAGGUAAAAUAGCUUAUUAAGAAUUAUAUCCGGGCAUUUAAUUUUUUUAUUUAUUUAGAUUCUUUAAACUCUAGCUAGAUCUUUGGUGCAUUACACAUGUUGCUAUCUGCUUUUUGUGUCACAGAAUUGAGAAAUGUGGCUAUUUUUGUUAGUUAUGUUAGUUCAGAACUUCCAAUGUGCUGCCAGCCUGUAUGAUAGACUUUUUGUAUAUUGCAGUGGAUGUCAUGAAUUUACUUUUUUAAAUGAGCAAAGCUUACUAGAUAAAUGGGAUCAGAGUUAAACAAUGCUGUUAGCACAGAGGUGAGAGGGACAAAGGGUACCCAUUUACAUCGAUUCCAAUAGAACGCUUAUUGGAGGAUAAAUUGCAGAGACAUUUUUCUAUUUUUGUGAAGAAAGAGAAAAAUAAUAGAAAAAGAACCGACUAUCUUUGUAUGUUCUACUGGGGAUGAUGAUUUAAAUCUUGUAUUAAAAGUUAUUUUUCUAACACAUGUUGACUAACCUGGCAGGAAUGAAUUUGUUAUAUUAGUGCCCUGAAUCAGUAGAAUAUUUAAUUUCUUUGUAAAAUUUAUUACACAACAUUUAGAAAUAACUUCCAAAUUUAGAAAUUGUCCUGAUUUAAAAGUGAGUUCAUGUAAUGCAUAUAUCGGAUAUUUAUUAGUUUCUAGCUGAACC
rnacentral:lncRNA from 1 species